UCCAUUUUAUCCAAGUUAAAUUCUAGUGAUUUGAUGCUCCAAAUGAAAACAUAAUUAAAUUUGAUCCGAAGUGAGAUUAUCAGUUAAAACUAUUAGUUUACGGAAGCCAACAUGAUAUUAGUGGAUUAACGACAGAGAGAGAAUGUAUUAUCUUCGACCAAACUGCAUAGUACUUUCUUUGACCGGUGUUCCGACGAAAGAAGGACGUCGCUGCUUUUGGGUUUUGGAUUCUCUCAAAGCUGGCUCCUUUUAGCAUGCUAGCCGUCAUGAUCAUCUCCUGAGCUCUGCGGCUGGUCUGUUGCAACUGCCAAGUGAUCUGACCCAGCAUUCCACACUAAAUGUUGCAUUGCUUGAAUGAGAGCCGCUGGAUUUCGAGUAGCAGAUUACGGCAAUCGAUGGAACUCGGUAAAAUACCAUUGCGUAGCAGCAUAAGGUCCUUACCAUUCGUUUCCACAAUUGACGGCAAUUAGAUAAUACAUCAGAAAUAUAUAAAUGUAGAAUCCUCAGAUGGCCCUGUAGCUGUCAUCGAUCGGUAUCAUUGAAUUGCGUUAAUUGCAAGAUCGUUACCAUCAUUUCAAUCAUCAAUGAAUUGAUAACACCAUCGACAAAUCAACUUUCAACGCUUGAACAAGAAUACACCAAGGAAUAAACUAAUUCAUGACUGCCAACACUAUCAGAUCGUGGAUUAUUAUGCAACAAACAACAAGAACGCAGACUCAAUAUCAGGAUAGUUUGUAGUGAUACGAUUGAUUCCGCAAUUGUUAAAUUAUGACGUUUUGUAGUUCUAAUAGAUCGUUGGUUUGAUGGAAUCUUGCCUAUACGUCCACGCUGGAUCUUACCAUGCACGCCAUAUUAUACGAGUGUCUAUCAAGCUGGUCAACUAUUCAAUAAAACUUUAAAAUCACCUCAAAUAUUGCCAUAACAUAACACAUUUUGAAAUAUCCAUAUUUUCUAAACUACUUUCUUAUUAAAAUUGUUUGCAAUUUGGCAGAAAUUAUCUCCUUGAACAGAAAAUUACUUUUAUAUGGCAUUUAUAGUGCAAGCUAUUAUAUCACACGAUGUAAAAGGUUACAUUUUUUUUUGGGAAUAUUGCACAUGACUCUUGAUGACAAAAUUCGUUGUCUGGAAUUACAUAUUGAAGUUUGCUUAGGAACACCUCUGCUUAGUACUUAAACCAGGGAGCACCGCUUAAGAGUUAAGGCUCUGUCUCAUUUGGAGAAUUAAACUGAAAUUAAACUUAAAAGUGACAUUUCAAUAAUUAUCAAAUAACCCUGCUCGCAGAGCAAGAUUACUUUUGACAGAUAUUGAAUCAUUUUGCAUCGAUGUCUUAUUGGAAUUACUGGGUAGCACCAGCCAUUUUUAUGACUGGGUUAUGUGCUAAUUUUCGAACUGUCACUUUUAAGUUUAAUUCUCCAAAUGAGACAGAGCCUAAGUGAAGGUGAAUAAAUUGGCCCUAAGUGGGGUGUCUACAUGUCAUAAGAUAAAGUAGUACAUACUAUUCAAUUUAACUGUACUACUUGAUUGAAACUUUACAGAAAAAAAUGUUCAACUUCAACAACAAAGCCGGCUAAUUUCCAUUACCAACACCGUUCCCGGGCUUUGCUGUUGAUGUCGAAACACAUUACUGUACAAUGUUACAAUCAAGUAGUAGAGUUUAAUGUAAUAGUAUUUAUUUAUACUUAUUUAUUAAAUUUAAAUUGAUGUUUUUCUAUGGUAAAACAAUAAAUAAAAAGUAUGAAAAACAUAAGAAGAACAUUUGUUUCUAUUGUUUAAAUGGUGAAAAUCAUCUAAUAGAAGUACAGUAAAAUGAGUUGUUUUGGUCUGAAUUUUGUAUGGAAAAUUUUCAUUUUUUUUAUUGUAAAGAUACGUAACAACCCCUAUAAUCUAUUGUAAAAGUC